AUUGAACGCUGGCGGCAGGCCUAACACAUGCAAGUCGAGCGGAUGAAGGGAGCUUGCUCCUGGAUUCAGCGGCGGACGGGUGAGUAAUGCCUAGGAAUCUGCCUGGUAGUUGGGGAUAACGUCCGGAAACGGGCGCUAAUACCGCAUACGUCCUGAGGGAGAAAGUGGGGGAUCUUCGGACCUCACGCUAUCAGAUGAGCCUAGGUCGGAUUAGCUAGUUGGUGGGGUAAAGGCCUACCAAGGCGACGAUCCGUAACUGGUCUGAGAGGAUGAUCAGUCACACUGGAUCUGAGACACGGCCCAGACUCCUACGGGAGGCAGCAGUGGGGAAUAUUGGACAAUGGGCGAAAGCCUGAUCCAGCCAUGCCGCGUGUGUGAAGAAGGUCUUCGGAUUGUAAAGCACUUUAAGUUGGGAGGAAGGGCAGUAAGUUAAUACCUUGCUGUUUUGACGUUACCAACAGAAUAAGCACCGGCUAACUUCGU
rnacentral:rRNA from 1 species